rnacentral:rRNA from 1 species
UACGGAGGGGGCUAGCGUUGUUCGGAAUUACUGGGCGCAAAGCGCACGUAGGCGGCUUUGUAAGUUAGGGGUGAAAGCCCGGGGCUCAACUCCGGAAUUGCCUUUAAGACUGCAUCGCUAGAAUUGUGGAGAGGUAAGUGGAAUUCCGAGUGUAGAGGUGAAAUUCGUAGAUAUUCGGAAGAACACCAGUGGCGAAGGCGACUUACUGGACACAUAUUGACGCUGAGGUGCGAAAGCGUGGGGAGCAAACAGG